GCCUUCGUGGUGCAGUGGUUAGCACGCUCGACGCGCAUUCGAGAGGUCCGUGGUCGAGUCCCAGCGAGGGCA
rnacentral:tRNA from 1 species